GGCCGAGUGGCGGAACUGGCAGACGCGCCGGACUCAAAAUCCGGUGCCCGCGAGGGCGUGUCGGUUCAAAUCCGACCUCGGCUA
rnacentral:tRNA from 1 species